UAUGUGAUCGUCUCUCGCAUAUCAAUAAGCGGAGGAAAAGAAACUAACAAGGAUUCCCCUAGUAACGGCGAGUGAAGCGGGAAGAGCUCAAAUUUGAAAUCUUAAAGGGUUUCCCUUUACGAAUUGUAGUUUAAAGAAGUGUUUUCUGUUGAGGUUUUGGUAAAAGUUCUUUGGAAUAGGACAUCAUAGAGGGUGAGAAUCCCGUAUUUGACCUUUACUUUCAACUUUGUGAUACACUUUCAAAGAGUCGGAUUGUUUGGGAAUGCAGUCCAAAAUGGGUGGUAAAUUUCAUCUAAAGCUAAAUAUUGGCGAGAGACCGAUAGCGAACAAGUACCGUGAGGGAAAGAUGAAAAGAACUUUGAAAAGAGAGUUAAACAGUACGUGAAAUUGUCAAAAGGGAAGCGUUUGACACCAGUGUUGUUUUUCUGAAAAUCAAUUAAAGAACUGUUUAUGCUAAGUUGUUUAGACUUUAUCAGCUAACUGUUUAGUUUUGAGCUUUUCUUUAAUGCACUUUUCAGUUAACAAGUCAACAUCAAUUUCUUUUGCUGUAGAAAAGCUUGAGGAAGGUGGCUUGAGAUUCGUCUUAAGUGUUUAUAGCCUCUUGCCUAUGCAGUCGGAGAGAUUGAGGUCUGCAGCGUAGAUCCUUCGGGGCUAAAUGCAUUUGUGCUAAGUUAUAACAUUUUAUAGACAACUUGUUGACUAUGAUUUGUCUUGUAGCUUACUCGCUUAUGUUAUUUUACCUACGCUUAGGAUGUUGAAGUCAUCGUAUCGCGC
rnacentral:rRNA from 1 species